rnacentral:miRNA from 1 species
GCCAGCACGCGCCGGUCGAAGGUG